CAUUCUUUGAACUCAACCGUCGGGAAAUAGCAGGUUUUGUAUCAUAGUAGGUUUUGCUCUCUCUCUCUCAAAUCCCUAAUCUGAAAUAGCCUUUCUUUCUCUCUCGCAAUGCACUGGAUUUCUUUCUAUCUCACUAAUCGAUUUGUUGAUUGCUUAGGAGAUUCAAUCCUUUGUUGAUUGUUAUCUUUCUAUCUCGCGAAUGCACUGGAUUUGUUGAUUUCUUUCUAUCUCGGAAUGAACUCUUCAGUGGCACUGGAUUUCUUUAUUGAUUGCUUCUAAGAUUCAAUCCUUAAUCUGAUCUCAACGACAAUUUCAUCUCUCGACAGCGAUUUCAAUCUCAUAAAUUUGGUUUUUGAUCUGUUGUUUGCAUUUGUUCUUCGAAAAUGCUUAUAUAUCAUCAUAAUAUGAUUCGUUUUUAAUGCGUAUUUGUGAGUGUUGGAUUCGGUAAUUGUGGAUAUGAUAGUCGAUUACUCAUUUGAGUUAAAAUGUGAACGAAAUCAAUGAUGUUGUGGUUUUGUAUUUUAGUAUUUGCUCUGUAAUUUUGGAAAUAUGGAUUUGGUAGUUGUGCAUACUUAUAACAAAUUGAAUAUCUAAUCAAGAGUGGUAAAUUGUAGAUAAUAUUAAGGAAAUCACAGUAACAAGAAGAGAAUCCAGCCUAAAUGUAAUCUGUAAUGCACUGUCAUUCAGAUACUUCAUAUAAUUACUGAAUACCAUAUUAUCUACUACCAAGCUUUUAUUGCAUAUUUUCAAAAUUGAUUCACAAGGCAUAUUCAAUCCUUUGAUUGCAGUCAAGCUUCCUAAAUCCAGAGUAUUGGGUGCUAAAGGUUAGAUAAUUAUAUCACUUGCCAAGGAAAUUUUUUUCUUCCUCACUUUUAUGUAAUUUUAACCCAAGUUCACAGCAGUUUAUUUACAGAUUAUGUAAUUUGUAUUUAUAACCAAGCAUCUAUGGAAAAAACAGGUUGCAAUGGAUGUCUCAGAAGUAAAUCUAUGGAAAAAACAGAGAUGCUUUGGUGGUAGAUUUGUAUUUUUGCUAUUGCUUGAAGAAUUGGAUUCCUUAGGUUUGAAUUAUUGGAAAAUUAUACAAUUUCGAACAUUUGAUUUUGUUGCUCUUAUAAAUUUUGUUGUUUUGUGCUUUUUUUUAUUUUAUUUUAUUCUAAAUUUGAUUAGAAUUUUGUAGAAUAUGUAUGAAUUGAUGAUUAUGUGAGUACAUUUUUAAUCUUUGUUAAAUAGUUUAAUGCUCUGUUUUUUAACUUAAGGAUUUCAAAUGAAGUAGAUUUGAAAUCUGAUAUUUCAAUCCUUGCGCCCCACUCGAUUGAUCACAUGACAUAUGGAUUUCAAAUCCGGCCAAAUCGGUCCAUGGAUUUCAUUCUUUCAUCACUUUCUUAGAAAUUUGAUUUUUUGUUUGGUCUUUAUCUGCUUGAUUUUUUGUUUGGAAAUGUAGAUGCCAAUUCGAUUGAUUGCAUUGUUAAAUUUACUAGCAAUGGCAGGUAGCUAUUAGUUUUAUUCUAGCAAAUGUUUUAGGUAUUUUCAAUUGGAGAACAUUAAAUCCGCACUUCAUUUUCGUUGCAUUCAGAGUGAGAAAAAUGGGUGCAUAUGGAUCCAUUCAACAACAUGAGUGUUAAGAAUUUUCUUAAUGUUGUGUUUGAAUUUGUUAAAAGAAAAGAACAAGCUGCUUUUUUUUUUGGUCUGUGUGUGUUUGUGUAUGAAAUCAGCAACAUUACAGAGUGAAGAGAGGAAGAAGAAUAAAACUCCAUGAGUUUGAUAAUUUUUUUGCACCAUCCAUUUCUGUAUUUUGAAAAGUUGCUCACUGGCUCUUUUUUUUUUUGUGUGUAAAGUCCAUUUAUAUGAAAAUUUUCCUUCAAAGUCAGACAUUUUUUUGGAUAUGGUGUUUUAGAUUGAUUAUGAUGACAACUAACGCAAUCAUGGUUAUAGUUGUCAGUUUAGCUGAUAAGUGAUAUAGAUGCUGGAGAAUCAUGGACUCCCUUCUGAUUUUCUUGUUUUCCUCAUGUCUUGUUGAAAUUUAACCGAUGGUGCUCAUUGGAUACUCUAGUUGUUUAGAUCAUGCCGUUCUGAUCUGAUAGGGCUGCAUCCUUGCAAACAAAGCCACUUGAAUUAUGAAAAGCAGGAUAAUUUUCCAGGUUUGUUUCUACAAAUCUAUUUAUGUUCUGUUUGAUUGUUGUGAAAACAGAAGACAUGAUGAACCACAACAUCUGUUCCUUUACACUUUAAUCUGAUAGGGGACAUAAACUUGUUUUCCUCGUUUGUUUUGCCUUGAAUUCCAUGUGGCACCUUUGUAGUCUUGAAUUUUCGGCAUUGCUUGUAUGUUAUGAAUAAUUUGAGAAACUUAUUAGACUCGGCUCAAUAAAAUCUUUCCAUGAAUCAUGUUUUGCGAUUCUGCACUGCCAAUUAUCCUAUUUUUCCAUGCUACUGUGUCUUUUAUCACUAUCUUAACGUGCAUUUAUUUUGAUCUUCCUCCUUCCAUGGCAUUACCCUCAUUGGUAAUGAUUUUUUUUUUUUUGGUAGCGUUUCUCAUUGUUGCAAUGCCCAAGUUUUGGUGAUUGGCUGUUGUUGAUUGCUCUGGGCCUCCAUGAAACAUAUUUAAGAAUGUUUGUGUUUUGCAUUUGUUGAAUUUUUGGUAUGAUCUCUGAGAUAUGGUUCCUGAUUUUGUGGAGCUCAUUCAGGGAGGCACUCUCUCUGUCUGGUGGAUCUGAGGGCCAGCAACCAGGUAUGAAGUUGAUAUCAUCAUCUCUGCACGACAUAAGAACAGUUGAUAAGUGUGUAAGCACUGCUGCACAAGAUCAUUCUUUACCCUAGCUCAGUUUUGCAUAGCUGCUUUAUUAUAUGUUAUUGAAUUAUAUGCAAGAAAUUUGAUUAUGCUUCCUUGUAGCAUCUGAGUUUGACUACUUUAUUUUCAUGGGUCCAACUAUAGUUCAAAACUAGUGGUUUUAGAUACGAUACCCGAAAAAAUUGGUAAGAACCACCAUACCCAAUAAGGUUUGUAGCUAUGGCACAUACAAUAGUUUCCUUUUUUGGGUACGAGCAAAUUUUUCUCUCCACUACUAAAACCUACCCACAGCAUUGAUCUUGAAUUGCUGCGUCCCUAAGCUUCUGAAUCACGAUAUUCUUGUCGUGGUUUAAAUUGUCCAACGGUGCUUGCAAAGCAUAAACAAGGCAACUGGUGAAUUAUAAUCCGUUUCUUUCUUCCUAGAUUUUCUUUUCUUCUGGCCCUUCAAGAAAUAGUUAUUGAAAAUCGAUGCCAGACAUGAAAAGGCUAGAAAAUGAUUUAUUUUGCAAGAAUGAAAUGAUAACUGGAGCAAUGUAAAUCCUAAUGAGUUAAGCCGUGAUUCCCAUGUUGUUGGCGUCACUUGAGAUAUUUAUUAAUUCAAAAGAUCAUAUGUAUUCAUGAUGACACAGGAAAUUUAAAUGUUGAAAUCAUUUGAGAAAAUUCAAGAUUAUUGUUGUUAAUCCGAUUGGUUUAUCAUAUGUAAAGUAAAGCAGGAUAAAACAGAGCAUUUAGAAGUUAAUCUUUGCACUCUUGUCAAAAUUGUUAAAUCAUUUAGUGUUAACUUGCAGUUAAGACGGAAAGAACGAAAACAUUGAGAAAUACAGAAGGCUUCAGGCUCUUACUUGAAAAUUAACUGGGAACGCAAUACUGAUACACUGACAGCCACAACUAUCACUGAAAUUAAGCUUCAAGACAAAUUUCAAUGGCCUUGUUUUAAGCUUUUCCCUGGUGUAUCAAUAGACAUGAUAGAAACAAAAAUCAGAGAAGCAUGGUAAAUUAUACAUACAGGUAUGUCUACAAAAGGUAGAGGACGAGCAGGGUAUGAAGUUUCAAUUUUAGCGAAGAGGAUGAAGCAACAUUGAUUGCAUUCCUUCAAGGAUGGGAACACAAGUGCACUGGGAACGCAAGUGCAUUGUGAGAUGAUUUGUAGAGAUUCUGUUUCUUGGAAUUCUCUCAUAGCUGGUUAUUUUGAGAUUGGGAUUCUAAGAAUCGGAUUUUUUGUGAGGCCAUUGUAAUGUUUUUACAGAUGCGUGAUUUCUUGAUACAGCCUAAUAAAUAUACUCUUGCUAACAUUCUUUGUUGAAUUUUUGACGUUGUUGAAUUUUAAUUUGGAGAUGAACAGAUGCUUUGAAGAUAUGUUUGAUA